GGAUGAACGCUAGCUACAGGCUUAACACAUGCAAGUCGAGGGGCAGCAUUUCAGUUUGCUUGCAAACUGGAGAUGGCGACCGGCGCACGGGUGAGUAACACGCAUCCAACCUGCCGAUAACUCGGGGAUAGCCUUUCGAAAGAAAGAUUAAUACCCGAUGGUAUAAUCAGACCGCAUGGUCUUGUUAUUAAAGAAUUUCGGUUAUCGAUGGGGAUGCGUUCCAUUAGGCAGUUGGUGAGGUAACGGCUCACCAAACCUUCGAUGGAUAGGGGUUCUGAGAGGAAGGUCCCCCACAUUGGAACUGAGACACGGUCCAAACUCCUACGGGAGGCAGCAGUGAGGAAUAUUGGUCAAUGGGCGCAGGCCUGAACCAGCCAAGUAGCGUGAAGGAUGACUGCCCUAUGGGUUGUAAACUUCUUUUAUAUGGGAAUAAAGUUUUCCACGUGUGGAAUUUUGUAUGUACCAUAUGAAUAAGGAUCGGCUAACUCCGUGCCAGCAGCCGCGGUAAUACGGAGGAUCCGAGCGUUAUCCGGAUUUAUUGGGUUUAAAGGGAGCGUAGGUGGACAGUUAAGUCAGUUGUGAAAGUUUGCGGCUCAACCGUAAAAUUGCAGUUGAUACUGGCUGUCUUGAGUACAGUAGAGGUGGGCGGAAUUCGUGGUGUAGCGGUGAAAUGCUUAGAUAUCACGAAGAACUCCGAUUGCGAAGGCAGCUCACUGGACUGCAACUGACACUGAUGCUCGAAAGUGUGGGUAUCAAACAGGAUUAGAUACCCUGGUAGUCCACACAGUAAACGAUGAAUACUCGCUGUUUGCGAUAUACAGUAAGCGGCCAAGCGAAAGCAUUAAGUAUUCCACCUGGGGAGUACGCCGGCAACGGUGAAACUCAAAGGAAUUGACGGGGGCCCGCACAAGCGGAGGAACAUGUGGUUUAAUUCGAUGAUACGCGAGGAACCUUACCCGGGCUUAAAUUGCAUUUGAAUAUAUUGGAAACAGUAUAGCCGUAAGGCAAAUGUGAAGGUGCUGCAUGGUUGUCGUCAGCUCGUGCCGUGAGGUGUCGGCUUAAGUGCCAUAACGAGCGCAACCCUUAUCUUUAGUUACUAACAGGUCAUGCUGAGGACUCUAGAGAGACUGCCGUCGUAAGAUGUGAGGAAGGUGGGGAUGACGUCAAAUCAGCACGGCCCUUACGUCCGGGGCUACACACGUGUUACAAUGGGGGGUACAGAAGGCAGCUACCUGGUGACAGGAUGCUAAUCCCAAAAGCCUCUCUCAGUUCGGAUCGAAGUCUGCAACCCGACUUCGUGAAGCUGGAUUCGCUAGUAAUCGCGCAUCAGCCAUGGCGCGGUGAAUACGUUCCCGGGCCUUGUACACACCGCCCGUCAAGCCAUGAAAGCCGGGGGUACCUAAAGUACGUAACCGCAAGGAGCGUCCUAGGGUAAAAC
rnacentral:rRNA from 1 species